rnacentral:rRNA from 1 species
AAUUCGCCCUUGGGCGGAGUGUACAAGGCAUGCAAGUCGAACGUAGCUAGUUUGCAACACUUUGAUUUUCUCAAGUGAGGAAGUAAAAGUGUUGUAGACUGGUUUAGUGGCAAACGGGUGCGUAACACAUUGGUAACCUACCUCUAAGUCGAGGAUAGCUCAUCGAGAGGUGAAUUAAUACUCGAUGGUCAUGCGGGGACAUAAGUCAUUCGCAUGUAAAGUUUUUCGCUUAGAAAGGGGCCUAUGGCCUAUCAGCUAGUUGGUGAGGUAAUGGCUCACCAAGGCUUUGACGGGUAGCAGGCGUGAGAGCGCGACCUGCCUCAGUGGGACUGCGAUACUGCCCACACUCCUACGGGAGGCUGCAGUCGAGAAUAUUCCACAAUGGGGGAAACCCUGAUGGAGCGACACCGCGUGGGGGAUGAAGGCCUUCGGGUCGUAAACCCCUUUUAUAUGGGACGAAGCGCAAGCUGACGGUACCAUACGAAUAAGAGGUUGCUAACUCUGUGCCAGCAGCAGCGGUAAUACAGAGACCUCAAGCGUUAUCCGGAUUCACUGGGCGUAAAGCGUCCGCAGGUGGUUUAUUAAGUCAUUUGUCAAAUCCCGGUGCUCAACAUCGGAACUGCGAAUGAUACUGUAUAACUUGAGACUGGGAGAGGCACACGGAACUGUCGGCGUAGUAGUAAAAUGCGUUGAUAUCGACAGGAACACCAAAGGCGAAGGCAGUGUGCUAGAACAGUUCUGACACUCAUGGACGAAAGCGUGGGGAGCGAAAGGGAUUAGGUACCCCUGUAGCCCACGCCAUAAACUAUGUCUACUAGGUAUUGGCAGUAUCGACCCUGUCAGUGCCGUUCAAAAAAGCUAACGCGUUAAGUAGACCGCCUGGGGAGUACGGCCGCAAGGUUAAAACUCAAAGGAAUAGACGGGGACCCGCACAAGCGGUGGAUCAUGCGGUUUAAUACGACGAUAAGCGAGGAACCUCACCAAGGUUUGACAUGUAGCUGCAAGGUCUAGAAAUAGAUCCGCCUUCGAGGGUGCUACACAGAUGCUGCAUGGUUGUCGUCAGCUCGUGUCGUGAGAUGUACCGUUAAGUCGGGAAACGAGCGCAACCCUUUUCUUAUGUUUUAUAUGUCAUAAGAUACUGCCCGUUUUAAAUGGGAGGAAGGUGGGACGACGUCAAAUCAGCAUGGUUCUUACACCUUGGGCAACACACGUGCUACAAUGGGAAGUACAAAGGGACGCCAAAUCGCGAGAUGGAGCAAAUCCCUAAAAACUUUUCUCAGUUCGGAUUGGAGUCUGCAACUCGACUCCAUGAAGCUGGAAUCGCUAGUAAUCGUGGAUCAGCUAUGCCACGGUGAAUACGUUCUCGGGCCUUGUACACUCCGCCCAAGGGC